rnacentral:rRNA from 1 species
UACGAAGGGGGGCUAGCGUUGCUCGGAAUCACUGGGCGUAAAGCGCACGUAGGCGGAUUGUUAAGUCAGGGGUGAAAUCCUGGAGCUCAACUCCAGAACUGCCUUUGAUACUGGCGAUCUCGAGUCCGGGAGAGGUGAGUGGAACUGCGAGUGUAGAGGUGAAAUUCGUAGAUAUUCGCAAGAACACCAGUGGCGAAGGCGGACUCACUGGCCCGGUACUGACGCUGAGGUGCGAAAGC